UCGGAAAAUAUUAUUCAAUAAUCUAUUUAUACAAACAGAAGCAUAAAUAUAUAAAUGUACAUAAUUAUCGUAUAAUUAUUAUAUAAAUGCGAACCAAAGCGGUCAUAAAAUAAUAGAUUUUCUUUAAUUUAGUUAAAUUAGACAAAACUUACGAACUAAAUUACAACUAAAUUACUUAAAGUAAAUUAUAGUUUUUUUACAACAAAUUUUAUAUUACAUACCUAAGUAACAAUUUCUGGAAGUGCAAUUAAAUAUACAUAUUUUAAUCGAGGCCAUUAGUUUUUACAGAUUCCUCGUGAGGGGACGUAAAUUAGUAUAUUGCAUAAAGUAAACGUCAAAUUAGUUUUGUUAAAAUUAUCUCUUUGUGUUAUGUACGUGGUACUUACUCAAACAGUAAAUUUUUUUUUGAACUUUUGAACCUCAUUUUUCAUUAUAAAUGAUACACGAAUGUUAUACUCGCGUAAUAUAUAAAAUCUAUCUAGAUAUUUUAUUAAAAUAUAAGUUAAUUCUAAAAUUAACUAACUUAAUAAUAAUUAUAAUAUUAGUUCGAUCAUGAACCAUCCAACCAAUCAAAUGGCAGAAUUUGCUGUCAAUUACGAUAACGAUGAAUAUGUUUUUCACCAUGCGUUGCCUGUUCAGUCGUUCUAAGUUAUCCGCACCGUCAUACGUUGCGGUUAUUCGUUGCGUACGGCGCGAACGAAUGUGCAAUGAACUUAUAUGGGAUAUCUAGAACUACACAUGGGACAUUUCCGUCUCCUAUGUCUAUCCCAGUAAUGUGUCUCGAGCUCUACAUAUUUAUAAUAAUAUAAUUAAUUAAUAAUAUAAUAUUAUAUAAAUUACUUAAAAAUACGCAAUAAUUGGUUUUAAUAAAUAUUAUCAGGUGCUUAUGUCACAAGAAGUGUAGGUUAUGCGUUCACAUACAUUUUAAUAGUGCAAUGAGUGUUAACCAGGUAUUUUACAUUUAACACAUUUUUUGACCAUAUAACAAAAAUACAGAAAAGUAUCUUAAAGAGAAUCCCUCGUUUUAUAUUAAGUAAUUUUUUUCAUAGAGUAAACUUCAAAAAUCAUGUAUUUGACAUGCUUUUCGGUAUUUGGUCAACAGAACCAAUGGUAUCCUGAAAUCUGAUAGAUAGUACUAUUUUCAAACUCUACCGUCUAGUUGAAACUACUUCAAGUACAAGCUUUUAGUUUUUUUUUUUGAAAAAUCGGCCAUCUAAAAAUAAAAUGAAAUUUUAGAGUUCAAUUUAUUAAACAGAACACUAUUUAAUAAAUCCAAUUAUUUACUUAAUCAUUUAAUUUCCAGAGAGUAGGCAUUGCCUUUAUGUCUAUAAAUAUUUUUGUUUAGUAAGUUGUGUACUAUAAUGUGAAUAACUGGUUAGUACUCAAAACCAUAUGAAUAAAGGAUGAUUUAUGCUAGACCGGGCUUGAGUCCCGCAGUCUAGUAUAAAUCAUCCUUAAUAAUGCUAUAUACAAUUUAUACCUAAUCCCAACAAUCAUACAUACACAAUAACACCAACAUAGAAGCAUACAUUCACAAACUUUCGGAAUGAUCAUUUUACAGAUGAACUAACAUACAGAAAUAACUUUAUUAACGAUUCAAUACUAUACUUCUUGACCAGGGUUUGCUUGAUAUUCUAAAGCGAUUGGGCUCUUUACGCACUGCAUUUGAGACCGAUUCCAAUAAUUCAU